rnacentral:rRNA from 1 species
UACGCAGGGGGCGAGCGUUAUCCGGAUUCACUGGGUGUAAAGGGAGCGUAGACGGCCAAGCAAACCAGGGGUGAAAGCCCGGGGCCCAACCCCGGGACUGCCCUUGGAACUGCAUGGCUGGAGUGCGGGAGGGGCAGGCGGAAUUCCUGGUGUAGCGGUGAAAUGCGUAGAUAUCAGGAGGAACACCGGCGGCGAAGGCGGCCUGCUGGACCGCGACUGACGUUGAGGCUCGAAAGCGUGGGGAGCGAACAGG